GAUGAACGCUAGCUACAGGCUUAACACAUGCAAGUCGCGGGGCAGCAUGGGGGUUGCUUGCAAUCCCCGAUGGCGACCGGCGCACGGGUGAGUAACGCGUAUCCAACCUGUCCUUCACCACGGGAUAACCCGGCGAAAGUCGGACUAAUACCGUAUGUUGUCCAUUGACGGCAUCCGAUUUGGACGAAAGGUUUGGCGGUGAAGGAUGGGGAUGCGUCCGAUUAGCUGGACGGCGGGGUGACGGCCCACCGUGGCGACGAUCGGUAGGGGUUCUGAGAGGAAGGUCCCCCACACGGGAACUGAGACACGGUCCAGACUCCUACGGGAGGCAGCAGUGAGGAAUAUUGGUCAAUGGGCGUAAGCCUGAACCAGCCAAGUAGCGUGCAGGAUGACGGCCCUAUGGGUUGUAAACUGCUUUUAUGCGGGGAUAAAGUGGCCCACGUGUGGGUUUUUGCAGGUACCGCAUGAAUAAGGACCGGCUAAUUCCGUG
rnacentral:rRNA from 1 species